GUGUUGGGGCGGGGAAAGAGAGGCCUUGGGGGCCGGACAAUAUUAACAUAUCGAGAGCGCUCCUACUUCGUGCACUCGCCGGUACGAUACUAGUUUUGUCAGUACAAGCCGGUGACGGACUGAACGGGAUGCUCUCUCUCGUCCAUGUCAGGACGCAAAAGCAAGACUGCAUUUUUGACACACUUUAAACCGGGCCUGCAUAAUGCAGCUUAUGACGCACCGAUCAGUUUAAUCUAAAAGCAAGAUAAAAGAGGACAUGGUGCUUUCACUGGAUUGUUGGAACGUGGUAAAUGGCAGGUGUAGGAGAGGGGCACUGAUGGCAGUGACGAGUCCUGGACGGGCAGAAGCACCUGUGACCUGAAAGAGGCUUUUCUGAAUCCACUGGCAAUCCUGAAAGCAGAACGAAGAGGAGGAUGAAGGAGAAGAAAAGGAGUGGGAGGAGAGGCCAGAACCAGGAGGGAGAUGGAGAGAUGGAGAGGAAGAGAGGAAGAGAGGAAGAGAGGAAGAGAGGAGGAGGGGUGGAGGGGUGGAGGGGUGGAGGGGUGAGAGCAGGGCUUACUCGUCUUGAACCACAGGAGGCUAUCCUUCUCCCUGCCUCCAGCCAGUAUCACCAGGGUCUGCUCUGAGAGUUCAGGCCAGGCGAGGUGCUCCCUCGGUGGGCUGCAGAGGUGGGUCUGGAUCCCCCCAGCUCCCCACCAAUCUGGGGAGCAGAGAGACAACAGAGAUCAAUACAGAGAGAGAGGCCUCCACCGCUCUGCUCAACUCUAGCCUCCAGCACAGGAGACCCGAAGACCCCAAGAGCACACUGCUGCCAAACACACAUACGGAAACACACAUGACUGCAAAAGCAUGCACACACUCACGCACUUGAGCACGCAAAGGGUCUUACUCCCAAAUCAGUCUGUGUGUGUGUUGAAGACUUUGCCAAAGGCGUUUUAUAUGAUCGGCUCUGUAACCACCCAGAUUUGCUUUUGGAAAAGUCGUUCAAUUUUUGCAAAAUUCAUAACGCACCCUGAAAUUCCUUUGUGUGUUGGCACAAGAGAAGCAAGAACAAGACUCCAGAAAUCCACCCCAGAAGUAUCCUCAGAGGACACAGCAGUGUUAGAGUUCACACUGAGAUUGAACUCAUUUGGGUGAGCUGCUCUUUUGGAUGACUUAAGUGAGUGAGUGGGCACACCAAACCACACACCAUCAUUGAGAAUCAAGACCACCCAGAACCACCCAGAACCACCCAGUGCCCAGUAAGGUGCCCAGUAAGGGGCCCAGGAGGAGCUGUCAACACCACACACUGAUCCAACACCCAAAGGCAGGAUGGUCUGCAGAGAUUGAUGCAUUAUUAGUAUGAGCUGUAGCCCGAAUGACAGGCCUAGCACCAGACCAUUCACCAUCUGGCCUUCAUACCAUGUCCCUGUUGGAAGGACAGUACAGAGGACACACGUGAGAGAGCCAGUGUCCUUAGAUUCAGUGCACAGCACAGCACAGCUCAGCGC